GACGUAGGGCGCGAGCGUUGUCCGGAUUUAUUGGGCGUAAAGAGCUCGUAGGCGGCUUGUCGCGUCGAAUGUGAAAACCUGCAGCUCAACUGCAGGCUUGCAUUCGAUACGGGCAGGCUCGAGUUCGGUAGGGGAGACUGGAAUUCCUGGUGUAGCGGUGAAAUGCGCAGAUAUCAGGAGGAACACCGGUGGCGAAGGCGGCUCACUGGACCGGUACUGACGCUGAGGCACGAAAGCGUGGGGAGCGAACAGG
rnacentral:rRNA from 1 species